rnacentral:rRNA from 1 species
AUGAACGCUGGCGGCGUGCUUAACACAUGCAAGUCGAACGGUGAAGGAGAGCUUGCUCUCUGGAUCAGUGGCGAACGGGUGAGUAACACGUGAGCAAUCUGCCCCUGACUCUGGGAUAAGCGCUGGAAACGGCGUCUAAUACCGGAUACGAGCUGCGAAGGCAUCUUCAGCAGCUGGAAAGAACUUCGGUCAGGGAUGAGCUCGCGGCCUAUCAGCUAGUUGGUGAGGUAACGGCUCACCAAGGCGUCGACGGGUAGCCGGCCUGAGAGGGUGACCGGCCACACUGGGACUGAGACACGGCCCAGACUCCUACGGGAGGCAGCAGUGGGGAAUAUUGCACAAUGGGCGCAAGCCUGAUGCAGCAACGCCGCGUGAGGGACGACGGCCUUCGGGUUGUAAACCUCUUUUAGCAGGGAAGAAGCGAAAGUGACGGUACCUGCAGAAAAAGCACCGGCUAACUACGUGCCAGCAGCCGCGGUAAUACGUAGGGUGCAAGCGUUAUCCGGAAUUAUUGGGCGUAAAGAGCUCGUAGGCGGUUUGUCGCGUCUGCUGUGAAAACCCGAGGCUCAACCUCGGGCCUGCAGUGGGUACGGGCAGACUAGAGUGCGGUAGGGGAGAUUGGAAUUCCUGGUGUAGCGGUGGAAUGCGCAGAUAUCAGGAGGAACACCGAUGGCGAAGGCAGAUCUCUGGGCCGUAACUGACGCUGAGGAGCGAAAGGGUGGGGAGCAAACAGGCUUAGAUACCCUGGUAGUCCACCCCGUAAACGUUGGGAACUAGUUGUGGGGUCCAUUCCACGGAUUCCGUGACGCAGCUAACGC